GGCAGCGUAGCUCAGUUGGCAGAGCAUUGGGUUAGUAUUCCAAAGGUCGUAGGUUCGAUUCCCACCGUGGCCA
rnacentral:tRNA from 1 species